rnacentral:rRNA from 1 species
UACAGAGGAGCCAAGCGUUGUCCGGAUUGACUGGGCGUAAAGCGCACGCAGGCGGAUGCGCGCGUGGGGUGUGAAAUCUGGCCGCUCAACGGCCAGGCGCCAUCCCAUACGGCGCGUCUGGAGUGAUGCAGAGGUCGGUGGAAUUGCCGGUGUAGUGGUGAAAUGCGUAGAGAUCGGCAGGAACACCCAGGGGGAAACCAGCCGACUGGGCAUCUACUGACGCUGAGGUGCGAGAGCGUGGGGAGCGAACCGG